UCAGGUGCUGGCAUUAUGCUGGAUAAUUGGGAAGUUCGUAAAAACGACGCUGGCCCGCAACCGUGAAAGGGGAUGACCCCACAAUGCCACUGUGUGCUCGCACAUGGGAAGGCGUGGGGAAAGAUGAUCCUUGAGCCGGGAAACCAGCCUGAAAAAGG
rnacentral:ncRNA from 1 species